GGGGGUGUCCUGGCUUCGACAGGGGUAAAGGGGAUAGUUAAUGCAUGUCGAGAAGAUUACCUACUCGUUAAUCGCGGUGAUAAUUAAAUUUAAAAGCAAACAAUAACUUUGCACUAGCUGCUUAAUGCAGCUGCGGACCUAGCUGUUUUGCCGAUAAAUGGCUAGAAUUCCGCUCAUACUUAUCGGAUAUAGUUAGCCGAUGUCUAUAAGGCUAACUGAAACUCAUAGGCUGGCAUCAUUGUAGGUUUGAACAUUUUCCUGCAAUUUUGUGAGAUCAAAAAUGUCUAAGCAUGUAGAUUUGAUUAUUGACUUAUCUUUGGACGCGGGUUCGAUUCCCGCCACCUCCACCA
rnacentral:tmRNA from 1 species